rnacentral:rRNA from 1 species
AGUGAACGCUGGCGGCGUGCUUAACACAUGCAAGUCGAACGAGAACGGAUUAUAGCUUGCUAUAAUUGUCAGCUAAGUGGCGCAGGGGUGAGUAAUGUAUAGGUAAUAUGCCUCUUACUAAGGGAUAACAAAUGGAAACGUUUGCUAAUACCUUAUACUCCUUAUUAACAUAAGUUAAUAAGGGAAAGAUUUAUUGGUAAGAGAUUAGCCUGUAUUGUAUCAGUUAGUUGGUGGGGUAAUGGCUUACCAAGACUAUGACACAUAAGUGGUAUGAGAGGAUGAUCAGUCACACUGGAACUGAGACACGGUCCAGACUCCUACGGGAGGCAGCAGUGGGGAAUAUCGCACAAUGGACGAAAGUCUGAUGCAGCAACGCCGCGUAGAGGAUGACACAUUGCGGUGCGUAAACUCCUUUUAUAUGAGAAGAUAAUGACGGUAUUAUAUGAAUAAGCACCGGCUAACUCCGUGCCAGCCGCCGCCGUAA